rnacentral:rRNA from 1 species
AACGAACGCUGGCGGCGUGCCUAACACAUGCAAGUCGAACGGAAUUAGAGAGCUUGCUCUUUGAUUUAGUGGCGCACGGGUGAGUAACGCGUAGAUAAUCUGCCUGACGAUCUGGGAUAACACUUCGAAAGAGGUGCUAAUACCGGAUAAGCCCACGGGUUCUUUGGAAUCUGCGGGAAAAGGGGGGGACCUUCGGGCCUUCUGUCGUCAGAUGAGUCUGCGUACCAUUAGCUAGUUGGUAGGGUAAAGGCCUACCAAGGCGACGAUGGUUAGCUGGCCUGAGAGGAUGAUCAGCCACACUGGAACUGAAACACGGUCCAGACUCCUACGGGAGGCAGCAGUGGGGAAUUUUGCGCAAUGGGCGAAAGCCUGACGCAGCAACGCCGCGUGAGUGAUGAAGGCUUUCGGGUCGUAAAGCUCUGUCAGAGGGAAAGAAGUGUAUUGCGGCUAAUAUCCGCGAUACUUGACGGUACCCUCAAAGGAAGCACCGGCUAACUCCGUGCCAGCAGCCGCUGUAAUAC